rnacentral:rRNA from 1 species
UACGUAGGGGGCAAGCGUUGUCCGGAAUUAUUGGGCGUAAAGCGCGCGCAGGCGGUUUGUUAAGUCGGGUGUAUAAGCCUGAGGCUCAACCUCGGGAGGCACCCGAAACUGGGAGACUGGAGUGCAGAAGAGGAGAGUGGAAUUCCACGUGUAGCGGUGAAAUGCGUAGAGAUGUGGAGGAACACCAGUGGCGAAGGCGACUCUCUGGUCUGUCACUGACGCUGAGGCGCGAAAGCGUGGGGAGCAAACAGG